rnacentral:rRNA from 1 species
GACGAACGCUGGCGGCGUGCUUAACACAUGCAAGUCGAACGGAAAGGCCCUGCUUUUGUGGGGUGCUCGAGUGGCGAACGGGUGAGUAACACGUGAGUAACCUGCCCUUGACUUUGGGAUAACUUAAGGAAACUGGGGCUAAUACCGGAUAGGAGCUCCUGCUGCAUGGUGGGGGUUGGAAAGUUUCGGCGGUUGGGGAUGGACUCGCGGCUUAUCAGCUUGUUGGUGGGGUAGUGGCUUACCAAGGCUUUGACGGGUAGCCGGCCUGAGAGGGUGACCGGCCACAUUGGGACUGAGAUACGGACCAGACUCCUACGGGAGGCAGCAGUGGGGAAUAUUGCACAAUGGGCGGAAGCCUGAUGCAGCAACGCCGCGUGCGGGAUGACGGCCUUCGGGUUGUAAACCGCUUUCGCCUGUGACGAAGCGUGAGUGACGGUAAUGGGUAAAGAAGCACCGGCUAACUACGUG